AUCUAGCUGACGAGUCCCAAAUAGAACGAAACGCGCGUCAAACUGGGU
rnacentral:hammerhead_ribozyme from 1 species